GCCUACGGGGCGCAGCAGUGGGGAAUAUUGCACAAUGGGGGAAACCCUGAUGCAGCAACGCCGCGUGAGUGAAGAAGUAUUUCGGUAUGUAAAGCUCUAUCAGCAGGGAAGAAGAAAGACGGUACCUGACUAAGAAGCCCCGGCUAACUACGUGCCAGCAGCCGCGGUAAUACGUAGGGGGCAAGCGUUAUCCGGAUUUACUGGGUGUAAAGGGAGCGUAGACGGCUGUGCAAGUCUGGAGUGAAAGGCAUGGGCUCAACCUGUGGACUGCUUUGGAAACUGUGCGGCUUGAGU
rnacentral:rRNA from 1 species